rnacentral:misc_RNA from 1 species
AAGAUUUCGGGGCGGGAUAAGGUCAUCCUGUCUCCGCUCCGCACUAAUCGGGGUUGAGGUGGGGUCGGGGAAAAUUGAUCGGGUUCAGAGAGGUGCAGAUCAAGUUCGGGAACUUCUGCCAUCUCUAAUGAAAACCACCACCAAUCAGCACUUAGCUCAUUACAAACUCAUUAGACCUUCAAUGCUAAGUAGCAUUGGCUAAAGGUAAACCACCUAAGCUCACAAAUAAUUUUGAAAAUCAAAAUUUAUAAGGAUAUGGUGCAAUCCACAAGUGCUUAAAAAGUACACACAAUGUGCAUGUAGGACCAUAUCCCUGCUAUCAGUGCACAAUGUGCAUAAACAUAAUUGACAGCAUUUGGAGGAAAUUGAGCUGAUAUACGUAAUCCAUGUGACAAUUACUAAAAGCAAUUGACAAACACUAUGAUAGUCAGCAAACAAUCGUUUGGCAUUAAUCAGCCGCCAUUAUAUACCAUACAGUCCAUACACUAAAGCCAACUGCCAAAAGUUCUGAAAACAAGUAUACACCCAACGUUCUCUAUUCUCCAAGUAUACUCCUAAAAUUCUAAAAGAUCCUUUCGAAAAAGCAUCAUGUAAUUUCGUGCUUCAUCACAUACAGGAAAAAGUUUUUUUUUCAUCAAAUAGAUACUUGUGGUUUCGCUCUGUUACCCAGUCUCUCUCCUGUUUAUGGCAUGCUGACUUGAAACCCACUUGAUUUAAUUACGGAUGACUAAUGGCAUAAGACGGAACAAGGGACAAAGUAUCAGCUCAAAACCACAGGUUACCCAUUUGAUGAAAAAUAAACUUCAAUAAAGCCCAAACCACAUCAUACUUACUUGAAACUAUCCCAAUUCUAAAACAGAAUCAAAUAAACUAGUAGAAGAAAAUGUUCGGUGCAACCAUAUAAACCCGAAAACAUUAUGUAAGUAUGCAUAUGUUAAACCAUACAAAGAUGCAAAAGCUGGAAAUCAC